UACGAAGGGGGCUAGCGUUGCUCGGAAUUACUGGGCGUAAAGGGAGCGUAGGCGGAUAGUUUAGUCAGAGGUGAAAGCCCAGGGCUCAACCUUGGAAUUGCCUUUGAUACUGGCUAUCUUGAGUGUGGGAGAGGUAUGUGGAACUCCGAGUGUAGAGGUGAAAUUCGUAGAUAUUCGGAAGAACACCAGUGGCGAAGGCGACAUACUGGAUCAUUACUGACGCUGAGGCUCGAAAGCGUGGGGAGCAAACAGG
rnacentral:rRNA from 1 species